GUAUCCACAGAGCCAAAGGACAGGAAAAGUAAAUAAUCGUCACAUGAUUUGCGAGAUGCACAAUUGGCUUAGUUCAAAUAUUGACGUGAAUGUAACAGAUAAAAGUCAGGAUUCAAUGCAGACUACAGUAGUGUAGACUUGUGGAGAUACAGGACAUCAUGAGGCUCCAAUGGAUGCUCCUGCUAGGAGUCUGCGCGGUGGUGAGGGCAGCAAACCCACCUGCUCUUUACCACCGUUUUGUCCAGAUCCACAUACAAACGAGAAUGGCAAUCCAGGACUGUUCUCGUGUCAUGCGAAGACUGCAGCUGAAUGAGCCUGGAACUCAGAACUGCAAAUAUACAAACACGUUCAUCGUUACUAACCCUAUCCUCCAACAAGUCGAGGCCGUCUGUAAUAAUGCUGGAACACGUGACUUUACAUCUGGCAAUAUAUUCACUAGCAAUCAACGAUUCUCUCUUGUCACUUGUAGGCUCUCUAGUGGCACUCAACACCCCAAUUGUGAAUACGAUGGUACUGCAUCAACAAGGAGAAUAAGAGUUUCUUGUGACCCUGAUUGGCAGAACCGUCGUAUACUCUGGCCAACACACUAUGCAGGUGAUGUUGUUUAGCAUAUUUUUGUCAGCUACAAUACUUUAAUCAGGUCUACUAUUUUUUUUCCAAUAAGGUGGGAAUAUGCCGCUACACAAUUUGCCAUCAAAUGUUAUAGAAACUCGCCAGUUCAAUUUAAAAGGAUUGUGUUACAUAUGAUCCCUUUGUUAUUAGUGGCUUCCUUUUACAGUAAUACAAUGCCUGAUUUCUUGAUUUGCUCUCAGUUGUGACAAAUACAUCUGAAAAGCAGCGUGAUUUUAAUUGCAACUAAAUUGUGAAAAUGUAUUAAAUAAAUGGUACAGUGUGGGCAGACUGUUAAGAAGUA